UAUUUUUAGCUAAUUUGCAAUAGAAAGAAAGGCAGGGAACAGAAUAAUGCUGCUAUGGAUAACUACUAGCUUCUAUAACAGGAAUGACCGUAUGAUUAAGUGUUGUCAUGAAAGUAUUGGCAAGGAUGAAUAAGCAAUGAGACAAAAUGGAAAAUCUGACAAGCCCCAGAAAAAGAAAAUUAUUAAAUCGGUAUUUGGACAAACAUUGCAUCCAAUUGCCAACACUGCUUGGGUCAGUUGCCAAAUAUGACAAAACUUCUUUCUACUUCCAUUUAGCACUGUCAGUCCAACAUGAGAGACUGCACAAUGUGCCUACCGGGAGCCUUUCAAAAAAAAUAAUUAAGACAUACAAGAGAGGAAGGCACCAAGAGGCUAGUGCAAAACGUUCUGUGGGAUCGCUUCAGACACUUGAGAAUUAUCAUAAUGAAUUGCUGUCACUGUUACCAUGA